AUGGGUUCCAGGCUCUUCAAUUGCCUGGCCCUUUGUCUCCUGGUGUCAGGUCUAGUGGAUCCUAGAAUUAUCCAGACACCCAAACAUCUGGUGACAGUCAUGGGGAAUGAAAGGACCCUGAAAUGUGAACAGCAUCUGUCUCACAAUGCUAUGUACUGGUAUAGACAAAGUGCUAAGAAGUCCCUACAGCUCAUGUUUUCUUAUAACCUCCAAAAUCUCAUUGAAAACCAGACUAUCCCAACUCGCUUCCAACCUCACAAUCCACAGCAAUCCUACCUAGACCUUCAGAUCUCAGCCCUGGAGCCUGACGACUCAGCCACAUAUUUCUGUGCUAGCAGCCAAGACACAGCCCUGCAGAGCUCUUGCCCCCCUGUACACAAACCUCCUCAGUCUAUCCAGGAAACGGUUGCUGUAACAGGUCCACCUGAGCCUCGAGACACAGUCAGUAGUGCACAGGACUCAUGUGGAAACCUCAGACCACAACACCAGCUGCCAAUUAGAUAUCUUAUUCCCAAAUUCUGUGCCUGCAUAGCAGCAGUCUUUGCCUUGAGUGUGAUGGGGUCUAGAGUUGAAUAUGGGACUGACAAGCUCAAUUGA